GACGAACGCUGGCGGCGUGCUUAACACAUGCAAGUCGAACGGAAAGGCCCUGCUUUUGUGGGGUGCUCGAGUGGCGAACGGGUGAGUAACACGUGAGUAACCUGCCCUUGACUUUGGGAUAACUUCAGGUAACUGGGGCUACUACCGGAUAGGAGCUCCUGCUGCAUGGUGGGGGUUGGAAAGUUUCGGCGGUUGGGGUUGGACUCGCGGCUUAUCAGCUUGUUGGUGGGGUAGUGGCUUACCAAGGCUUUGACGGGUAGCCGGCCUGAGAGGGUGACCGGCCACAGUGGGACUGGGAUACGGCCCAGACUCCUACGGGAGGCAGCAGUGGGGAAUAUUGCACAAUGGGCGGAAGCGUGAUGCAGCAACGCCGCGUGCGGGAGGACGGCCUUCGGGUUGUAAACCGCUUUCGCCUGUGACGAAGCGUGAGUGACGGUAAUGGGUAAAGAAGCACCGGCUAACUACGU
rnacentral:rRNA from 1 species